rnacentral:rRNA from 1 species
UACGGGGGGGGCAAGCGUUGUUCGGAAUUACUGGGCGUAAAGGGCUUGUAGGCGGCCAACUAAGUCCGACGUGAAAUCCCCAGGCUUAACCUGGGAACUGCGUCGGAUACUGGAUGGCUUGAAUUCGGGAGAGGGAUGCAGAAUUCCAGGUGUAGCGGUGAAAUGCGUAGAUAUCUGGAGGAAUACCGGUGGCGAAGGCGGCAUCCUGGACCAUAACUGACGCUGAUGCGCGAAAGCUAGGGGAGCAAAGCGGGG